rnacentral:misc_RNA from 1 species
GAUGAAGAACGCAGCGAAAUGCGAUAAGUAAUGCGAAUUGCAGAAUUCAGUGAAUCAUCGAAUCUUUGAACGCACAUUGCGCCCGCCAGUAUUCUGGCGGGCAUGCCUGUCUGAGCGUCGUUUCGACCCUCGCGCCCGGCUUCUGUCGGGGGCGGUGUUGGGGAUCGGCCACACCCUUCAGUGGGAGGCCGGCCCCUAAAUUCAGUGGCGACCACGCUGUAGCCUCCCCUGCGUAGUACUAAAACCACCUCGCGGGCGGAGAGCGGUGCGGCCCGCCGUAAAACCCCCCAACUUUUACAAGGUCGACCUCAGAUCAGGUAGGAAUACCCGCUGAACUUAAGCAUAUCAAUAAGCGGAGGA